UACGUAGGGUGCAAGCGUUGUCCGGAAUUAUUGGGCGUAAAGAGCUUGUAGGCGGUUUGUCGCGUCUGCUGUGAAAUUUCGGGGCUCAACCCCGAACUUGCAGUGGGUACGGGCAGACUAGAGUGUGGCAGGGGAGACUGGAAUUCCUGGUGUAGCGGUGAAAUGCGUAGAUAUCAGGAGGAACACCGAUGGCGAAGGCAGGUCUCUGGGCAUUAACUGACGCUGAGGAGCGAAAGCAUGGGGAGCGAACAGG
rnacentral:rRNA from 1 species